GGCCCGCCGCGCCCGCUCCCGACCCCCGUGGGCUCUGCGCUUCCGCCAAGGCUGCAAGCUCCUCUGCCGCGCCGUCGGCGCGGAGCCAGCCGCGAGUUGAGGGCAGCCGCUGAAGGGAAAGGGCGCCCAACCGCGGGGACAGCCCGAGCCCGCCGUGACAGAACCCCUUCGCCUGCGGAGAAACUCAGGGAGGUCUAAGAACACGCUUCUCCCGUCGGUCACGUCUUUACGUGCCAACGCCAGACAGGCCAUAUAUCGAACAGAACCUCAGCGUGGAGCUGUGCACGGUCCUGUCAUCUUUCAGAAUUCCUGAGAGGUGGCACCCACCCGAGAGGACCCGGGCGCUGCCCCUUCCGCGGCCAAGACCACCCUGUAGGGAAACCUGCCCACGAACCCCGCUCCUGAAGGAGUGAAGAUUCUCGCUGGGAGAAACAAACCAAUCCUUAAAAAGCAGGAGAGACAGCUCUUCCUAUACUGCUUGCAUUUUGUUUUUUUAAAAAAAUGAUUAAUAUUAACGAACCGCAUUUCCACAAAUACAAGUUAUUUGCCUAUUGCA